rfam:Acidobacteria bacterium RBG_16_64_8 RBG_16_scaffold_26548, whole genome shotgun sequence.
CGGGACGUGGCGCAGCCUGGUAGCGCACCUGCUUUGGGAGCAGGGGGUCGGAGGUUCAAAUCCUCUCGUCCCGA